GUCCCCAUCGUCUAGAGGCUCAGGACAUUGCCCUUUCACGGCAGUAACACCGGUUCGAAUCCGGUUGGGGACGCCA
rnacentral:tRNA from 1 species